CCUCCCUGACCUACCUGGGCCAGAAGCUCUGCCUCGUCGUCUACCCCCACAGCGAGCCCCAGCCCCAUAGCGCGCCCCAUAGCGAGCCCCAUAGCGAGCCCCAUAGCGACCCCCAGCCCCACAGCGACCCCCGGCCCCAUAGCGAGCCCCACGGCGACCCCAAAAGCCCCGGGGAGGAGCAGAAGCCGCUCACCGCCCAGCCCCACAACUGAGCGCUAUGGGGCUGCCCCAUAGCGGUGGGGGGCUGCCCCACACAUUGACCCCAUAGGGCUGCCCCACACAUCCCUAUGGGGCUGCCCCACAUCUUCCUAUAGGGCUGCCCCACACCUCGGCCCUAUGGGGCUGCCCCACAUCUUGACCUCAUGGGGCUGCCCCACACAUUCUAUGGGGCUGCCCCACAAGUGUGCCUUCAGGGGCUGCCCCAUAUCUGAGCCCUAUGGGGCUGCCCCACACAUAUCCCCAUAGGGCUGCCCCGCACCUCCUCACUAUGGGGCUGCCCCACAUAUCCCUAUGGGGUGCCCCACAUCUGAGCCCUAUGGGGCCGCCCCCCAAGUGUGCCUUAAGGGGCUGCCCCACACAUUCUAUGGGGCUGCCCCACACAUUCUAUGGGGCUGCCCCACACCUGAGCCCUGUGGGGCUGCCCCACACCUCCUCACUACAGGGCUGCCCCACACAUUCUAUGGGGCUGCCCCACACAUUCUAUGGGGCCACCCCACACAUCCUAUAGGGCUGCCCCACACCUCCCUAUGGGGCUGCCCCACAGAUUCUAUGGGGCAGCCCCCCCACACUCCGCCCCGUGCCUUCCCCCCCCAGUGGGGCCCCAAAUAAAUAAAUAAAUAAAUAAAGAGACUUCCCGGAGGGGUUGAU
rnacentral:lncRNA from 1 species